CACAUGAAGAUAAAGAAGGGCCUUUAAAAAGUCACUAUACCCAAAGCCGUGGUACAGUUGUUGACUUUGCUGACUAUAAACUAGUCGACAUUAGGACUGAUCCUCCUCCACAUUAUGAGAGACUUGUUCCAGAGAGAGAGAGAGAGAGAGGGGGGGGGGGGGGGGGGUCAGUGCCCAGGAAGUGGAUUACAGAAGUGUUGAGAAAAUGCAAAGGGAAAGGAAAAUCUUUCACAGUGAAGAAGUUCAUGGAUGGCUUUUUCGAGCCAGAGGAUUUGAAUGGUUUAUGCAAUAAAGGUGUUGGGCAUGAAAGAGCCGGAGUUUAAUCAUGCAUUCCAUUCAAAGGUACAGACGGCAAAGAGAGCCAUAAAACUCUUUCGCUCAACUCAGAAGGAUUAAAUUGUGCGGUGGAUAUUUACAAUUCUCUCCCUUUUAAGAGUGUAAUUUACAAAUACAUGCACUUUGAUAAUGUCAUUGUUGAUGAAAUUUGUUAUUAUUAUUUUUUUUAUUGCACUUUUUAAGGUGUUGAUGGUCAUACAUGUCUCACAUGGGUGUUAAAAUAACUCCACCAUAUAUGUGAUAUGUUUUUGCAAAAUUAAUAGAAA